AUGUACAUGCCUACAAUAUAGCAUUAAUGCACAAGAUCCCAUUAGAGCUCCAUAGUUAAGCACACUAUGGAAAGAGUAGUACUAGGAUGGGUGAAAAUCAUGGAAGUCUUAUUAUUUUACAUG
rnacentral:rRNA from 1 species